rnacentral:piRNA from 1 species
UUCUGGGUAAUUUUUAAGAAA